rnacentral:misc_RNA from 1 species
GGGAUAAGUUCCGGUAAAGCAAUGAUAAUUGUUGCACAAUUUAUUCGAACUAAUUGGUUUUUCUGUGGCAUCUUGAUUGUGAUUUGUUUUGCAAGCAUUGCGCCAAGUAUUGGAGCUAGAGGAGGUCGUAAAUCUAUUUACAUUUCAAAACAAUUAAUUUCCAGCAAUAUAACGAAAUAACACGUAUAAAUUUGGCCACGGCAUAGACACAUGGCCAGGGACAGUCUCUGAUCACAGGGGCUUGUGUAGAGAAAAAAAAAACAUCGAUAAAAAAGGGGGUACCUUAGAGGAAAAAUAACUUUAUGUUCCUCUAAAGUACCCCCUUUUUUAUCGAUGUUUUUUCUCUCUACACAAGCCCCUGUGCUCUGAUUUGACAUGCGAACAAGUCUUUUACGUAAUAAAUUAUCACCUUCGUCUCCCAUGCAAAAUAACAAUUAAAUUCUUAUAAAACAUGUUAGGUCAGCGUAAGUCGAUCCCUCCAACCCAAUAAAAUGCCAAGUUCUUUUUCAGUUUAUUUAAGACACAAUUUACGCAGGUGUUUAGCAGAGACAUAAUGUAAUUUAUGUCUCUGUGUUUUAGAUAUUAAUUUUCAUGGAUAAUUAGUUACACAAAACACAAUAUCCCAGGUGCUUGGGUUUCACAAUGUAAAUAUAUGUGUGAUACACAUCAUAUUAAUAUUUUAACAUCCAUGAAAAUACCUAAAUUCCAGCGCAAUAUCUGAAAAGAAAUUCCAAAAUAAAUUGAAAAGCAUGAUCAAAAUGAAGAGAUAAUGUACAUGCAUGCAUGACUCUAUAAUUAUGAUUUUUAUAUUUGUAAAGGAAUCCUCAGACCAGAAAUAACAGUCAAGUUUUUCGCUGUAGCCAUCAUAUUUUUUAACAGUGGAAUUUCACUUCGAAGUGAGGAUCUAAGGAGAGCUCUGGUGCAGUUCAAAGUGCACUUCUUUAUACAAGGAUGGACAUUCAUUGUCUUUCCCUCACUGAUAUAUCUUCUUGUAUCAUUGAUGAAAGAUGGGCCAUUUGACAAACUCCUCCUACAAGGACUAUUGGUAUUGGGAUGCAUGCCUCCUCCAGUAUCAUCAGCCGUCAUAUUAACAAAAGCAGUGUCUGGAAAUGAGGCUGCAGCAAUAUUUAACUCUGCUGUGGGAAGCUUUUUGGGAAUAUUCAUCACACCAUCCUUGAUAUUGUUGAUUGUCGGGUCAGCGGUGGAUGUCCCGGUGACCUCCAUCUUCCUACAGCUGUCCCUGACCGUGGUUCUACCUCUCUGUCUGGGUCAGGCCAUUAGGAGACGACACAGAAUGUGGCUAGAGAGAAACCCUAUUCCAUUUGGGACCAUAGGCAGUGCCAUUCUGUUACUGAUCAUCUACACAACGUUCUGUGAUACCUUCCUACAGACCGACACACACCUGGACUUUCUCAGCUUGAUCUCCAUUGUCUUCCUGAUUGUCAUUCUGCAGUGUGCGUUACUGGGAUUGAUUUUCUUCAUCACAACACAGCCCUGGCUGGACUUUCAUCCGACAGAUACUACUGCCAUGAUGUUCUGCAGCUCUCAUAAAUCACUAACUCUAGGCAUACCCAUUAUAAAGAUUGUGUUCAGUGGUGACCCGGGUCUCUCUGUUAUAACUGUCCCCCUGCUGGUGUACCACCCCACACAGAUCCUGCUGGGAGGGAUCAUGGUUCCCCUACUGAAGGAGUGGAUGUACUCUGUGGGUAGAAAUAGGUAUACAAUGGCCAAGCACGUGUAGAAUAAACAAACCCAAGGGAGAGCUGUGCUUUUCCUGCAGUACUAAGACAUUUUUCUUUUACCUCAAUCUGCAAUAAAUAUACACUGUUAUUUAUUUUGCUAUCAAAUAUUUCUUACAGUUGUUGAAUAUGUGUUAUAUUUAUAAUAAAAUACAAGCAAGCUACAGU